AGAAGAAUUAUACACAUAACAGAAUUGCCUCAUCAGUGUGUCAGUACAGCUCAGUACAUUCAUAGACUCCAAUAAAACAGCGCCCUCUAGAGUCACAAAAUUCGACAGGUCACAGAAUUUGGUGCAACACCGGAUCUAUGUAGCUGCAG